GACGAACGCUGGCGGCGUGCUUAACACAUGCAAGUCGAACGGAAAGGCGCUGCUUUUGUGGGGUGCUCGAUAGGCGAGCAGGUGAGUAAAACGUGAGUAAACUGCCCUUGUCUUUGGGAUAACUUCAGGGAACUGGGGCUAAUACCGGGUAGGAGCUCCUGCUGCAUGGGGGGGGUUGGAAAGUGUCGGCGGUUGGGGAUGGACUCGAGGCUUAUCCGCUGGUUGGGGGGGUAGGGGAGUUCAAAGGCUUUGACGGGUAGGCGGCCUGAGAGGGGGACCGGCCACCUUGGGCCUGAGAUACGGCCCAGACGCCUACGGGAGGCAGCAGUGGGGAAUAUUGCGCAAUGGGCGGAAGCCUGAUGCAGCGACGCCGCGUGCGUGAUGACGGCCUUCGGGUUGUAAACCACUUUCGCCUGUGCCGAAGCGUGAGUGACGGUAAUGGGUAAAGAAGCACCGGCUAACUACGUG
rnacentral:rRNA from 1 species